AUUGAACGCUGGCGGCAUGCCUUACACAUGCAAGUCGAACGGCAGCACGGGUGCUUGCACCUGGUGGCGAGUGGCGAACGGGUGAGUAAUAUAUCAGAACGUACCCAGAAGUGGGGGAUAACGUAGCGAAAGUUACGCUAAUACCGCAUACGAUCCACGGAUGAAAGUAGGGGACCUUCGGGCCUUAUGCUUGUGGAGCGGCCGAUAUCUGAUUAGCUAGUUGGUGAGGUAAAGGCUCACCAAGGCGACGAUCAGUAGCUGGUCUGAGAGGACGACCAGCCACACUGGAACUGAGACACGGUCCAGACUCCUACGGGAGGCAGCAGUGGGGAAUUUUGGACAAUGGGCGCAAGCCUGAUCCAGCAAUGCCGCGUGAGUGAAGAAGGCCUUCGGGUUGUAAAGCUCUUUUGUCAGGGAAGAAACGGCUGUGGCUAAUAUCCACGGCUAAUGACGGUACCUGAAGAAUAAGCACCGGCUAACUACGUGCCAGCCGCCGCCGUAA
rnacentral:rRNA from 1 species